rnacentral:lncRNA from 1 species
CCUGCCCAAGACCGAACCUUCCACUGUGAGAUCUGCAAUGUCAAGGUCAACUCGGAGGUCCAACUGAAACAGGUGAGUCUGAGGCCCUCCCCAGGAAUUCUGGGAAGCUCCACCCGCUGAGGGGUCAGGAGAACAAAGAGCUUGCGUGAGGCCCCUUCUUCGGGCUCCUACCCCUGUGCUAAAAAAGGGAAUGGACCCAGAAACUGGGCUAUCAGCGAGGUGGCCCUGCCCCGUGGCGGUUGCUUUCUUCUGGGGGAUCGCAACCCACCACCCAAUCGCUUCCUCAGCACAUCUCCAGCCGGCGGCACCGAGACGGCGUGGCCGGGAAGCCCAACCCACUACUGAGCCGUCACAAGAAACCGAGGGGCGCCGGGGAGCUGGCGGUGAGGCCAGGGCGCUGGGAAACUCGGCGGAGGGUUGGAAAGAGGGACGCGGGAGGGGGCCCCAGGAGAGGUGAGGUUUACGGACCGCCGCCUGACCUCCCUGCGCUCUCUGGCUUCAGGGCACGCUGACUUUCUCCAAGGAGCUGCCCAAGUCCCUAGCCGGAGGCCUGCUCCCGAGCCCCCUGGCGGUGGCUGCGGUGAUGGCAGCGGCAGCAGGCUCCCCGCUGUCCCUGCG